rnacentral:lncRNA from 1 species
AGGAAGCGGUUGUAGCUAAUAUCUGAUAGCUGCCUCACUGAGGUUGCAGGGGGUCAGAACCCCAAGUCAGACUAUCCAGACAAUAAAAAUAACGUUUCCUAAGGCUUACAGCAUUUGAUUCGUUCAGAGAAGAAAAAGGUCUGAAUCAUUCCACUCUAAAAUGGGACUGAGGAUAUACCAGCGUACAAAAUAUUAAAAAGAAAAAAAUUGCUGUUCCUACAGAGUUUAUAUCCUAAAGGUGAAGACAAAGAAUAAACACACGUAACUUAUUUGGUGAGAGAAUGUCGAAGGCAGCUGCACACAAGCCACAAAGCUAAGUUAAUGUAUGUAUGGACUAUCUGACAACCCAAUUCUGCCACAUGAUUACUGCCCUAAUUCUGUAAACAUUUCACCCUUAAUCAAGUCAUAAGUUGAAUGUGGCCACUGGUGAAAACACAAUAUUUAGACAUUUCUAAAACUGGAUCUACUCACAUUUAUGAUGAUGUUCAGAGAUUCAUCGUUGGGAAGGAAAAUGCACACACUGCGGCGGUCUUGCAUGACUCUGUUGUUAUGAAAAUUCAAUUUGUUCAUUGUGUUUUGGGCACUCUGGUGGUCAGGGCUGGGCUCUGGGUCCUUGGCAAUUCCUCAGGUUCCCAGCACUCCAAAGCCAAGCUCGCCUCCUCAUCACACGCCCUGCAGGAGAAGCAUCAUGGUGUUCGACUACGUGGGUUUCAUAGCUGUGAAAAAGCCAAAGGGGAGACUCCUGAAGAAAGGCGGUGAAGACUGUGAAAAGCGGGUCAAGAAGAUGAGCACAGCACCACUACUAUUGUGGGCACAGGGACAGCAUAUCUCCAGCCAGCACCACCUUAUUUAAUACAUGGGAACUCACUGAAAUUCAUUCUGUAUUUUGCCCACAAAGUUUUAAAGCUUUCAUCCACAGUCAGGAAUUAAACUUAUAACCAAUGAGAGCCUCACACAUUCAAGGAUGUACUAAGUACUACAGGCCUCACAGAAACAGAGAUCCUGUCUUGGAGGAGUUUUCAGUCCCACAUGGGAGAUAAAGGGUUUUGAACAUGAAAUGACAAAAACAACAGCAAUAAGAAAAUUCUCGUUCUUUUUCAUAACUAUCAAACUCAAAUAAAUGUCUUGGCUCUUACAUUACAUUCAUUCUUCAACCAUUGUGGUCUGGCUUACACUUCCUUCACUUCACCAACAUGGCUCUGCCAAAGGAAGCCCGUG